rnacentral:rRNA from 1 species
UGGGGAAUUUUGGACAAUGGGCGCAAGCCUGAUCCAGCCAUGCCGCGUGCGGGAAGAAGGCCUUCGGGUUGUAAACCGCUUUUGUCAGGGAAGAAAUCUUCUGAGUUAAUACCUCGGGAGGAUGACGGUACCUGAAGAAUAAGCACCGGCUAACUACGUGCCAGCAGCCGCGGUAAUACGUAGGGUGCAAGCGUUAAUCGGAAUUACUGGGCGUAAAGCGUGCGCAGGCGGUUUUGUAAGACAGAGGUGAAAUCCCCGGGCUCAACCUGGGAACUGCCUUUGUGACUGCAAGGCUUGAGUGCGGCAGAGGGGGAUGGAAUUCCGCGUGUAGCAGUGAAAUGCGUAGAUAUGCGGAGGAACACCGAUGGCGAAGGCAAUCCCCUGGGCCUGCACUGACGCUCAUGCACGAAAAGCGUGGGGAGCAAAACAGGAUUAGAUACCCUGGUAGUCCACGCCCUAAAACGAUGUCAAACUGGUUGUUGGGAAGGUUCCUUCUCAGUAACGUAGCUAACGCGUGAAGUUGACCGCCUGGGGAGUACGGCCGCAAGGUUG